rnacentral:lncRNA from 1 species
UGAAUUAGCAUGAACAAAGCUCAAAUGAACUCAGAGACUGAAGGAGCAUGCUCAGCGAUUAUACAUAGUAUCUGCCCCAGAUCCUUUGCAGACAUAUUAUGGUUCCUAGUUUAGUGUUUCCAUGAGAUUCCAUUAGUGCAAACAAAUGAGUUUAUGAUUUGUGUGCCUUCUCUUGACCUCACUUUCUUCUGUUACUUGUCCAACUUCAAAGUGAUAGUAUUUGUUUUAUUUUAUUAUAUUUUGAGAAAAGUGAAUUAGUGAGUAAAUGAAAGACUAGCUAUUAAGGGAAAAGGGAAUGCUAAGCUGCCAUUUACACCUUCUGGCAAAGGGAAGAGCAGUUUUUCCAAUAGAGUAACCCUGGGUAUAUCAACCAUUCUCUAGAAGCCUCAUGUUCAGGAACUGACCAACCAAUAAUGGACUCCAUACUUUUGUUUGUUUUUUGUUGAUAGUUAUUCUGCAUGCUUUAAUUAGGUUACAGUUUGUGGGGGUUUUUGUUUUGUUUUGUUUUGUUUGUAGGGAUGUGCUUGGGGUGUUGUUUUUUGUUUUCUUGGAUUUUGUUUUGCAUUGGCUUUUUGUUUAUUUUUUGAAAAAGAACUUAAAGUCGGUUGGGUAGGAGGGGGUUGAGAACCUGAAUGGACUUCAGAGAGUGGAAAAAUAGAAUCAAAAUAUGUUUUAAUUUAAAAUUGUUUUUAAACAAUAAAAAUAAUAGAAAAUUAUUACAAAAUCUGAGAAAAUAAUUUAGGUUUGGGCUACAUAUUUUAUUCUACAAUUGUUCAAAUUGUGUACUUGCCCUUCAUAUAAGACCCCUUCAACUUAAAAUGUCCUUAAAAUAAUACACUAAGAUGAAAACUUUCAUAAAAGACAACACUGAAUUCAGAUUACUCAAUAAUUUUAAAACAUUAAUUUUUUCAUGCUGGAAUGAUGGUCCAGCAGUUAAGAGCAUUUUGUAUUCUUCUAGAAGACUCAGGUUUGAUUCCCAGCACCCACAGGCAGUCUCAGUUACCGUGUGUAAUUCCCAGGAGAUCCAAUGCCUUCUUUUGGACUAUACAUGUGCCAAGGAUUUAUAUGUUAUACCUCUUUUGAAGGUUUUAGAAUUUUCUUCUGUUAAUUUAAUCUCACUUUUACUUGGGUCUAUAACAUGCCUUUCCUCGAAUACUUGUUUGGCAUUCCAGAAAUCUUCUAGUCUUCUUAAUAUGUAUAUUUAGUGUUUUAUCUACUAACAAUAUUCAUUUUUUACGAUGCCACGCUCAAUUUUUCUUGUUAUAGAACUUCUAAGGUACAGAUUUUACAAUAAAGAAUUUCUAUUAUAUGACC